rnacentral:lncRNA from 1 species
GCAAGUAAAGGGGGAGCGGAGGGACAAACUGAGCUAACAGCAGACUGGGGUGUACCAACAGGGGCGUUGAUUUACUGGAGUGUCUUGAAUUAAGACUACUGAUAUCUGACGUGCAGCGAUUCGAGGUGAGCUUGUUUAAUGAGGUUUCAUCUAACCUCCUUCAUGAGCCCUGCUUCGUCGUCGGACUUUGCGCCUCCCUAGGACCCUUUUCCUUUAUGGCUCCCAGGCUCCCUGAGUUAUUGCAACUUGUGUCUGAUCCGAAACCCAUCCUUACUACUCUACGACGAAGAUGUGGUCAUCGCUUUCGAACCUCUCCCAACUUGGGGUGGUACCUUCUCCGCGUCAUUUUUAUUUUUAUUUUUAUUUUUUUGUCUUUUUUCUCACAGGAAAUACGUCGUUUAAAAUGACUGUAGAAUCCUUUCCCAUCACCAGAACUUGGAUGUGAGCGGGGCAAAGUCUCGAGCAUUUGCGAAGCCUGGAUCAUGUUUUCAAGUUCCAGCCAGUCACUUUUGUUUUGUAACUUCCGUGGCUAACACUGGUAGGGCUAGGUCAAGGUGGGAUUUUCUGUAUUUUCGCUUCUUUCACAAUGACAUAGGAGCGUGUAAUGUGUUUUACACGCUCACAUUGAGCCAUUCGAGGCAAGCUGGACAAAGUUCUG